CAAAGAAGAAAAAACAGGCGGUUGUUUCAGAACCGGUUGAAACAAUAUUGCAAGCGGUCCAGCAAGGGUCACCACUAACCCAACCUCCUCAACAGGCAUUCUCUCCCCCAGUACAACAGCCUCAGAGCCAAUGGUCACCCACUCCACCCGUCAUUCAGAUACACACACAUAAUACUGGCAACCCAACGAAUGGGAACAGGCAGAAUCAGAGUAAAGGGUCCCAAGGUCAAUUUAAAAAUAAUCAGCAACAAGGAUUCAAAGGACAACGCAGAGGUCCUUUAAUAUGUUGGGUGUAACCAGGAAGGACAUACUAAGAGAAAUUGUUUAAUUAACCCUUUCCCACCCCAGCAAGGACAGGGUAACAACUGUCAGGGAAGGCAAGAACAAGGGGGUAGCUCCCAGCCAGGUCCUUUUAUGGGACAGGGAUACUAGGGGUGCCCAGAGAAUCCACAAGGGGAGGGUCAGCUUGCAGCAAUCACAAAACAAGCCGAUGAGGAAUCAAUACUACAGGUUCUUGUUAAUGAUAGAGGCGAGCCAAUGGGGGCCGACACUGGAGCCACUUACACUUGUGUAGGUUCAAAAUAUGCCUCUCACCUCCUUAUGGUAGGAAAAUUCACCAAAACUGUAGGAUUCUCGGGACACACAUAGUCAAUAUCUAUUUCAACUCCAAGGGUGACAAUCUGAGAAAUUCUUAUUUUCAGAGUGAGUGAGUGAGUGAGUGAGAGAAUGGAUUUGCAUUGUGCUGAAUAGAUUACAUUUGUGAUUGGAUGUACACUGUACUACUUGGUCCUUCGAUAUAACCUGUGGCCCCUUAAUGGCUCCUGUUUUAGGAAAAUCAUAGAACCACCACUGGGAUCGGUGACUCUGUGGUUCUGUGUGUCGCGACAACCUUUGAGACUCUCCAUAGCGUUGUGGUACCAUGUGAUUUGAAUCAAUAGAUCUUGGUACACAGAGCAAUUGGUGAAACACUGUGUUGGUUGGUUCAGAGGGUUACAGCAUGUUGGGUAAGGGAGAGGAUUGAGAGGAUUCUGGAUGUGAUAAGUUUAAUGUAAAGGACACAGAGGUGAUAAAUCAAUGGAGAGCCCAGUAUCAAAGUAUUAGAACUACAUGGUAAUCACAGGUUUUAAGGGUAAUUAUCUAGACUCCAUAAAAUGAACAAUUAGCUUUUAAUGUUGUCAAUAACAUGCACACCGCUCGUCCACAGAAGUCCAGGGGGCUACCAGCGCUGGGGAUUCUUAUUAGAAGAAUUCAGGGUAAACACAGUUGCACUCCUCAAAAGAGGAGCUCAGCUUACCCAAACCUUGGACUCCGCAGUGGAUAGGUGGAUGUUGUUUUGGUGUUUGGACCUGACGAGGUCUAGGUGCCAAGAUAACAACACAAAUAAAAUAUUUCCUAAGGAAUUACGAUAAUAACGGACAUUUAUUAAAAGUGGUCGUACAAUCUAGAAAUAAUAACCAAAUACUUAAAAAUUAGACUAAAUGAGUAUGUUAAAAUAUUAUACAAGUUUAUGAAUUCAUGUUAUCCACAAUGACAAAUGUCAUUUAAAAUUAAAUAAGUAAAAUAUAAUAAAAAAAGGGUGUGUGUUUGAGCCUGCUCUCGUUUGUGUGUUAGGGCCACAGAGGCAGGGGAGAAUGCUCUCCUACUUAGUGUGAUGGAAUACACGAAGGGCUACCAAAAGCUUACUUCAGACAAAACAUGCAAACAAUAGGUAUAAUAUAAUAAGAUUAGAUCGCCCAAUUUAAAUAGUGAGUAUAGGACAAUCGGGUGGAAUAAUAAAGGGAAUUAUGAUUAUGAGUAACGGUUAACACAGAAGUGAAUCGCCUAAUAUUGAAAAUGCAAGUUUUAAUAUUGUGAUUUUUUGUUUUAUUUUCACAUCUCCUUAGUUAAGGACCAUAGGUGGAUUAACGCUACAUCUGCUGGGAAGGGAUCCUACAUGCUAGGUCUCAAUUUACAUUCAGAAGUGGUGGGUUUACCUUUCAAAUGCCAUGACUGCUGCUGCAACACUUUUGUAGAAUAUUAACAUUUGAUAAUAUGAUACUUUUAGCUCUGAUGAAUUACCUUUAGAUUCACCCCAUCAUAUAUCCCCCGCACACACAGGGUCAAAUUUUAGUUGUUGUUGUAGCUGCUCUGGUGUGUCCAUUACAGCCUUGGCUGCAUGGGCAAUUGUGAUUGAAGACUCUGUCUCCAUCCCUCCACUUUGUGGUCAAAACCACCUUAUGGGUGGGGAUUGAUUGUAUCCCAGGCACGGCAUCCUGCACUAAGCCAGUAUGGAAGGCUGGUUAGCCAACGACGGGUAAGAUCCCACCUUGAAGACCGGGACAACCUAAAACAGGCACAGUCACGAUUACUUGGCAGUCACUGUGAGCACUGGCUCACUUGAUGAUGAAGUGACAAACUGCAACCAUCAUAGGAAGAGCCGUAGGGUGAAAGGUGGAGGAGGAACAGGAGUCAGAUAUGGCAGCCCCAGCAGCAGAGGUGGUGGUAUUGGGACAGGGCAUGUUGCGUUUUAUUUGACAGUUGAGGCAUGAAGGCCUGCUGACCCAUGAAAUCUUUUCGGUUUAGUGCAUGACUUGGUAACGGCGUGGUUUCAGGGCGGCUGAUGGUAAAACCCACCAAUAUCAACCUUUGGUUUUGGAUAUACUGGCUUCGAUUUCCCUUCCCAAUAGAUUGGUGUUAGUUUACGGAUGGUUAAGGUUAGGAGUUCCAACGUUGGUUCCACCAACGGCAUUGUUAGGUUGGCUUAUCAUUUAAGUGCGCAUGGUUUUGACCAUUGCGCAAGGGGGGAGGUGUUGAGGAGUGUUGAGGAGAAUUAGAAAACAAGGUUUUUUCUUCACCAUAAUUACAAACAAUAAUUGAUAAACCAACUAAAUGAGUAUAAAUUAUGUGCAAAAAACAAUGUAAGAAAAAUAAUCACUGCUACAUUGGGACACAUUCCCACACCUGAAGGACCAUUUUGACAUUUGGGCAUGAACUAUGUUGACAUGUUGUGCAUGUUAGUUAUCCUUGACAGGUUCAGCAGAUGGGUAGAAGCAGUCCCAUCAAAAGACCAAAGUACAGCUACAGUAUUCAAGUUUCUGACUAGAGAAGUCAUGCCAAGGUUUGAAAUUCAAUCAGAGAUAAGUUCAGACAAUGGGCCAGCGUAUAUUCAGCAAACACUUAUUCAAGCACUAAAUAGAAUUGGUUAGAUGCAAUUACACACACACACACACACACACACACACACACACACACACACACACACACACACACACACACACACACACACACACACACACACACACACACACACACAUCUAUACACACAUAAAACAUUUAAGAAGGAAUGCAACUGAGGCAUUAUCAAUUAUAAUACAAACAUAUUUAAAACACAUACAAAUUUCGGGUCCAAUGUUUCCAGAAGCAAGGUGAGUACCUUGUAUCUCUCUGAGAGAUAUCAAUUAGACAUCAAUCAAUAUCUAUAGCAAUACUGAGUUAUCACAUACAAGCUAAUAGAAUGACACAGCUAACUUUGCACAUAAUGCUUACGGUUAGAUUCAUGCUUUCACUUACAUUUCAAGGGCCCCAUAAGGGACUUCCAUUAGAACAAUUAAAAAUAGAAUCAAAGGAAAUAUGUUUUUGAACAACUAACUGCUGUACAUGAGUUUGUAUUUCUACAUUAGAAACGCAAAGUUCCAGAGCCAUAUGCAGACACACCCGGAGCCUACAAACUACCUCCGCCAAGCAAGGAGUAACAGCCACAUGAUGCAAUUAAAUAGUGGCAGGGGUUUGAAUGAAUUCUGUUUUUGUGUUCAACCAUUCACAAAAAAUAUUGAUUGUAUAAUCUAUAUAAAAUCAGCAACGUUUUGUCAAAUUUACCAUGGUUACAGCAGAAGGACUAUCAGAACAAUUAGAUGCCAUCUCCUGAAUGAUCUAUCAAAUUAAGCUAGUCUUGGUUAUGCAUUGGCAGAGCCUAGGGGGGUGUGUGGGAUGAUAGGGGCGACAUGUUGUGCGUUUAUCCCCAACAACACAGCUCUGGAUGGGUCGGUGGCCAGGGCGCUGGAAGGAUUAUAGUGCCUCAGAUUAGAGUUGGCAGAGAACUCCGGAAUCAAUAACCCCUUCUCAGGACGGAUGGAGAGCCUGUGAGCAGUGAGUGCUAAAGGAGCACCAGGUGUCAUCCAAGAGUACAUGGAGAUCCAGUUGAACCUGGAGGCACAAAAGAGGAUCCAAAGGAGGCCCGACCCGGUCCUACUGGACGGUUGGGAAAAUAUGCCCUUGCCAAGGAGGGACGAACAUUGGACUGUGAUAUAUCAAACACCAGGUGGAGGCUCACGUGAUGUGCUAGUAACCUCUCAAUGUGAGCCGGCCUCGUGAUCUACAAGGCUUGAUUUCAGCCGACAGGAGCAACAUCUAUGACUCUGUCCAAAACCCCCCACGUGUAUCCUGCGCAACGACAUCAUCACCUGAGCCGUUCAGUGCAAACCUACAGACAAUCUCAAAAUUUCAAAUGCUGAAAUGUCCAUGUUUGGGUACAUUAUCACGAUGCAUAUUUUUAAAAUUAUUAAUCUUUAGUUUACUAUUAUGUCACAUAUUUUGGAGAAUGAUGAUUUUCAAUGCAUGCUGAAAACAUAUUGUUAUGAUUUUUAUGAUUUUUAUGAGGGUAUUUUAGGUACACAUUUGAUUUAGUUGUAUUCUAAGUGUGGAAACAUUGUGGUGUUAUGUUUAGAUAGGUUUUUUGAUCUUUUUAUGAAUACUUUGCGGGACUCAAGAAUAUUGGACAUAAUACACCACAUUUGGCAAUCUUUUUCAUCGCCAGGUUGCGAUCCCUGGAUGCAGGUUGAGACUCCUGCUUUAGAUUAGUGGUGUUUUUUCUGGGUAGCCAGAUGUGGUGCUAUUCUGAUCCACUUGCCAGCACAUGAUCUCAUAGACUAAUUAAUAGAUAAAGGGGACAUGGGGAAAUUUAAGUAAUAGAGAUGUUAUUAUUGUUUUCUUUUAUUGAGGCUUUGGCAAGCCUCAAAGGGGGGAUAUGUGGUAGAAAUUAACCUUACAUUCUAUGUUAAACUAUGAUUAUUAUUAGGCCUACAUAUCAUACAUACUUUAAUGGUGGAGAAGAGCUGAUCACCUCUAACCUAGAUGUUGUGUGCUGUGUGACACCAGUGAGUGGGUCCAGGAUAUUCUCACCUGAUGGGCCAUGUGAUACAUCAGUCAGAGAGUCCAGUCUACUCCCAUAUUGAUGUACUCUCUGAAGACAAUGCUUACAUUCACACCUGUGCAUCAUCUCUGUUUGUAUAAGGAUAAUAUAUGUUCUAAGGUCACAUUGGGAUUCAGAAGACAUAGGAGUAUGCUGACAUCCACACAGUAUGACCCUGAUGGGAAAUUCUAUAUUUGAUGAAAGUCCAACUUUGUAUUGUGUAAGAAUUGGGGAUAUAAGGAGCUGUCCGGGAUUCAUUCGGUAGUGUGUAUUCGCGAAUACCAUUCAGCUUUGUUGUCUCUCGUUUGCGGGUGGCAAUAAACUCUCCAUCUAUACUUGACCUGGACUCCCCGAUUCCUCUUGCUUUUUAGCUAGUUGAAGUGAAUUAGAUAAGUUAUUAUUAAUUCUACAACAACAGGUAUGGAUACAGGAUUGUGUCAGAAAAGUUUAAGCAGUUUGUAGAAUUUCUAAUGACAGAGAAAGCCUAAUGAGUGUAGUGGUUAGCACCUUGUGACAUAAUUUUAUGACAUUUCUGUAACAGUAUUUGUUUUCUAUGGUUGGAAUAAGGAUGG
ensembl:lncRNA